AGCUAACAUAAUCUGGUGAUUACAUUUAUAUAUUAAGCAAUCUUUGAGGAGAAAACAUUGAGUUCAUAAGAAGGACAAAGCUUCUCCAUAAGUAGGAUAAGGCAGAAGAAUGACCACAAAUUGACAGUAAAGAUGAUUUGAAAUUCUUUAAAAAAGUAGAGUUGCCCAUGCAGCAAUGAACGCAAAGCCUCGGAAUGGUGCCAAGGUAGAAAACUUCUUGUCCUCGCGCAAUGCUACCAUGUAACACCUACAACAUUGACGAACAUGAAGCUUUUCACACAUUCAUAACCAGUAAAAGACCAACAACCCAAAAGUUUGAAACUGGAGUCAAUUAGUAAGCAAUCUAAAAUAUAAGUACCCUCAAAUGAAAGAAACAAAAAAUCAAGAACACAAGGAGCAAACUAUUUAAUAAAUAUCGGGGAUACUGCAAAUAUAGUCAUUAGCUUAGAUACAGAGAGAGAUACCUAUGUUAAUCAGAUCUACUUCAGUGUUUUGGAAACAUGUCAAAACGGAUAAAAUCACAUCCGUUGAAGAGUUAUAAAUUGCAAAAUUUAAGAAGAAAAAAAAAAGCACACAAAUCGAGAGAGAAAACAACUUACGGGCCAGCCGGAAAAGGCCACAAUCCCAGCAGUCAACAAGCCACCAAACUGUGGAAGAAAGAGAUAUGUCAAGGAUAAACAAGACGAAGUCAGUACCUUCGUUAGAGCAUCAAAUCAAAGACUUGAAAUGGCGGCGACUUUGUGCCAUAUCCUGAGUAUCCAUCGAUCUCCUAGGUUUCUUCUUACACAAUUAACAUUUGACCAGAGAGAUGGGUCUUAUUCGCUUUACGCCCAACGGCGUCCUUGUAUUGUGUGCUGUUCUCUCAACCGAAAUAUCGCUUCUUUAGAGGUUACUUUUGUCCUAAAAGAAUUUAACCUCUUCUCUUCUCAGGUUGAUUUUGAUGCUCCUCUAGUUCUUCUUCAGUAAACUCUGAUGAGUUUCUCGGACAAUUGCAUGAUUGGAAAAUAUAACUAUAGUUUAGGAUUGGAACUCUUAGAGCACCAUUAACACAGUAUCUUAUGCAUGUCUCUUAGGCUAAUUAUGAUUUAAAAAAAAUAGAAAAAUAGAAAACGCUGAAGACACGUCUCUUAUUCUGGCUCAGCAAGGGACGUCUCUUAUGGACAGCUG
rnacentral:lncRNA from 1 species